rnacentral:lncRNA from 1 species
UGUUAAUUAAUUCCACCCGAGACGGAAAUUAGCCAAGUAGAAUAAAAAAAGGAGUUAAAGCAAGUGUAGGCGAAAUGGUCUAGUGGUAAAGGCAAAGUGUUUGCAAGUGCAUAACGCCAGGAUCGAUUCCUGGUUGUGUCAAAAGCAUUUUAAUGUAAGGCGUCGUUGUUAAUUAAUUCCACCCGAGACGAAAAUUAGCCAAGUAGAAUAAAAAAAGGGGUUAAAGCAAGUGUAGGCGAAAUGGUCUAGUGGUAAAGGCAAAGUGUUUGCAAGUGCGUAAAGCCAGAUCGAUUCCUGGUUGUGUCAAAAGCAUUGUAAUGUAAGGCGUCGUUGUUAAUUAAUUCCACCCGUGACGGAAAUUAGCCAAG